GACAGCGUGGUCGAGGGGUUAAGGCGAUGGGACUGCUAAUCCAUAGCGCUCUGCCCGCAUGGGUUCGAAUCCCAUCCCCUUCG
rnacentral:tRNA from 1 species